AUGGUGUGCGGCGGAGCCAUGAGCAGGUGGCUCGUCCUCCUCGUCGGUCUUCUCACCAUCUCUCUGGUACCAUCAUGUGCCGCCGCGGAGGUGAAGAUCAGCCCAACGGAGUGGAGCCUUCGCCUACCCCUGCCCGACGGCGUCACCGGUGCCGAGAGCCUGGCCUUCGACGCGCUUGGCCAGGGCCCCUACACCGGCGUCUCCGACGGCCGCGUCCUCAAGUGGGACGGCAGCGCCGUCGGCUGGACGACCUUCGCCCACCACGCCAACUACAGGAAGCUCCCCAUGUGCACCGUGGCCAUGGCGCCGUCGGAGGAGACGGAAGGCUUGUGCGGGCGGCUUCUGGGGCUCGCGUUCCACCUUGAGUCCGGAGACCUCUACAUGGCCGACGCGUACAAUGGGCUCAUGAGGGUCGGCCCCGACGGCGGCGAGGCCGAGGUGCUCGCGACCGCAGCCGACGGCGUCCAGUUCAACUUCGUCAACGGCCUGGACAUUGAUCAGGUCACCGGUGAUGUAUACUUCACCGACAGCAGCGUGACAUAUCCACGAAGGUUUAAUACGGAAAUCAUGAUGAACGCCGACGCGACGGGGAGGCUGCUCAAGUACGACGCGCGGACGAAGCAGGUCACCGUGCUCAAGUACAGCUUGCCAUACCCCAACGGCGUCGCGGUCAGCCAUGACCGGAUGCACAUCGUCGUUGCGCACACCCUGCCGUGCCAGGCAUACAGGUACUAUCUCCAGGGACCAAAGGCUGGCCACUACGAGCUGCUCGCCGAUCUGCCUGGCUACCCGGACAACGUGCGGCGCGACGAGAAUGGCGGCUACUGGGUGGCGCUGAACCAGGAGAGGGGGCGCCCGGGCGCGACCACACGCCCCGUGAGGCACUUGGUCGGUGUCCGGUUAGACGGCAACGGCGUGGAGGUAGAAGAGCUGACCGCUGCCAAGGGCGUGACACUCAGUGAGGUGACCGAGAGGAAAGGAAAGCUGUGGCUCGGCUCCAUCGAGCUCGAUUACAUCGGCCUACUAGUUGCCUUGUACUAA
rnacentral:rRNA from 1 species